CCAAAGUGGCGCUCCAGUGGUUGUGAGCCUGUUGUGAUCUUAUGAACAUUUCGAUGUUACGUGACUCUCAGUUGACGUUAGUGGAUAAGAGUUUCAUCAACAAUUUUAAGUAUUUUCACAGACAUAUACCCCCAUCAAGAAGUGCCCGUUGAGAUAGGCUGCAGACGGAGAAUCUGAGAAGACACCUGAAAAAAUAAGUGUCAAGGAGUCUGAGUAGUGUGCCCUGUCUCAAAAAAAAUCAAUAAAAACCCUAUUUUCUUCCUGUGGAAACAAGGGAGAAACCAUCUAGCAUGGCCAAUGAGAAAACCGUGCAAACCUUGUGUAUUCAGGAAAAUCACGAGGCUGAUGAAUGCCGUGAAAAUAUUCCACCCGGAGUCACUACUGCAGCUGGGACUUCAAAGCUCAAGGUCCAAGUAGGAGAUGUGGUUGGAUAUUCCUCUACACAGCCAAGUGGAGAAAAUAAGCCUCUCUCUGACACCUGCACCUUUUCAACCCCAGCUCCAACAUGCAGCAAUGGUGGAGUCAAGGCAAAGUCACGGAUCUCUGGUCUCCAGUCUGCUCUAACACCAAUCUUAAAAUACUUAAAUAUUGGCAAGGCAUGUCCAUCUCCAGAGCCUUUAAAACAUGGAAACAAUCCUCAUCUGACUGUUCCCUUUUUUCCCUUUAGUUGUACCACAGCAAAUGGUAAAAAAUCAACUGGAGGUUCUAGCCCACAUCCCAACUCUGAUUUCUCCAGUAGCCAUUCUUUCCGAUCAUUAGGUGACACGAAUGCUCCUGUGCCCUGGCUGAAUGACGAGUACUUGCCUGAAAUUACUCUCCUUGAUGAUACAUGUGAUUCCACAAUGCAACUGACAAGAAAUGAUUCACCUCUUCCUGACAGAGUGCCUGCUACACCUGUAACAGCUGGAUCUGUGAAUGGCACAUUUACCACUCUCCAGCCCUCCAGGUUGAGUUCCUCCACCGAUUUUAACACUGCUGUUCAAAUGUCCUGCUCUCAGAAUAAGACACUGGAUCUUGUCCAAUCUAAUGUUAGCAGCCCCAAAGCGGAAAGUGAAGCUACAGAUCAGGCUAGUAUAGUCUCUUUGAACUCCACGGAAACUUCCCUUGUUAGGAAUCAGACUAGUUCAGCUGGUAAGGCAGGUGGUUCAUGUGAAGCCCACCCUCCUGAACUGUCAAAACAUAAUGGGUCAACAGCUAGUACAGACCCUAAUGCCAAGAUGGUUGACCCACGUGAGAGCAAGGAUGCUCCUGUGUGCUGGCUGGAUGACAAAUACUUCCCAGAAAUUACUCUCCUUGAUGUUACACAUGAUUCAGACCUAUCACCAGUAGGGAAAUUAACCUCCAUGGAGGUCACGCAGGAUAUUUCACCAGUGGAUAGUUUGCAAAACAACAUGCCUUCCUCAGAGCUCAGUGGACAAAUUGUGGCAGAGCCUGGCAAAUUGGACAUAAUUCAGAGUGAAGAAUUGUCAAGUACUGUUGAUGGCAAUGUCACCCACACCAUAAGCUCCCUUAGUGAACAAUCUGAUAUGCUUGUGGGGGAAAACAUAAUGAAAGCUCCCUUGGAAGUAACUCGGGAUAUUUCUAUGGGCAGUGUUUUGGAAAACAGUAGGUCUUCAUUGGAGUCCAGUGGACAAAACAUGGUGAAGAUUCAAACAUCAGCUGAGGACUCACUUGGAACCCAUCCUGUUAACGUUACUCACGACAUAAACUCCUCUAGUGACAUGACUGUUCAGUGUGCUGCGCCACAAUUCUCUACUUCUGAUAUGCAGUGUAACACUGGUUCAAAGAAUGUCACCUCUGAGCUUCAUGGUGAACCUGUGGUGACCUCUAAUACCGUGGAAGCAAACAAUGAGGAGCUACUCACCAGCCAUGAUGCUGAGUUGCCCAGCAAGGUGCCACAACCAAUCCCAAAAACAGCUGAGUCUGUGAACAGCACAUUUACCAUUGCCCAACUCUCCAAUCUGAGUGCCUCUACCAAUUUAAACACUAACGCUCAAAUAUCCUGUCCUCAGAAUAAGACACUGGAUCUUCCCUCAUCUAAUGUAAAUACUCCCACAGUGGAGAGUGACGCUACAGAUCAGGCUACUUCAGUCUCUGAUAACACCACCGAAACUUCCUCCGUUACAGUUCAAAAUUGCUCAGCUGUAAAGGCAAGUGGAUCAUGUGAUGUGAAGAACGCCACUUUUGAUAGGCAUUCUCUUCAAAAAUCCAGCAACAAUAGUAUAUUAAUGGACGCUGGUGCUACAACCUUUUGCCUCGAGAACAACACUUUCGAUACUAAACCUCCUUCUAAACAGAAUGGCACAAUAACUUUGUCAGAAACAAGCUCAAGUGACAGUCACCAGAACACUUUGGACCAGCCUUCUCCUCCUAAGGUCUGUAAAGCAACGAGUAGCCCUAAAGACAGCAAUUCUGAAGUCCACCCUACUGACCUGUCGAAACAUAAUGGGACAACAGCUAGUACAGACCCUGAUGCCAAGAUGGCUGACACCCCUGAGAGCACGUUUGAAGCUAAUCCAGAUGUAGUGGUAGCUUCUGGAGCUGGUCGACAUGAGACUAAGGAUCAUUCACUGUCAGGUCUGCCUAUGACGGAUGGUCUUUCCGACAAUUUGGGCCAUCAAAGCAUGGAUACAGAGAACAACAAAGCCGACACAUUCAAUUUGGAUGAUACCCUAGAUUUAAGGGCGGACUCUUUGAUUACUUCAACACCAAUGACUAGCUGUAAAAUGUUCAACUUCAACACUGAACGAGACGAUGGCAAAACCAUAGGGGCACAGAAAAAACUGUAUGGGGAUGGUCCCAGUAAGCAAGAUGGUCAGCAGCCAUCAGACGUUCCAUCAAACAUCGUCUGCGAUCGAAAAACAUUCCUGACGCAACCCGCUGUUAAAUCCCUUUUGCCUCCUUUGAAAGCUGCAUCCCAGCUGUUGAAAUACAAGCCAGCCUCCACACUUCCAGGACGGUUUGAGGCGUUGACAUCAGGCCUGCCCAUGACAAGACAAAGAACCCAAGCUGAAGCUUUGAGAAAUACUGCUGCUUCUGAUGCACCCCAGAUGACCACAGGAAUAUCAAACUCCUACAACUUGCGGGCUUCAACAACAGGAUCCAAGCAGCCCAAUUCUGGCUUGUGGAAACCGAAGUUGAGUGGAAUACCGUCAUCAGGCAUCCAGAGAGCUGCACCAGGUCUAAGGCCACCAUCAGCAAGAUGCAAUGCACCAUCUUCUUCAAACACUGAACAACUCUGUGGACCUACAGCUACUAACCCUGUGAUGAAGAUUUCACAAGCAAAGAAGCACCUCUUAAACAGAGGUGAAGCUUUGCCAACAGCAAAGAAGAAGAAAAUGGAUGUUCCCUUGCCAUCAGGUAGUGCUGAAGCCUCAACAUCGUCCUGUGAUGCUGCAAACAGAGUCAAAAACCUAAAACAGCCCACAACCAGUCAGAGAUCGUUGCCCGCUAAAACCCAAAGAGAUGAUGCUGCAGUGCCAGCCAGUACUGUUGAAACAUCAACAUCUUGCAAUGCUGUUAGCAGAGCCAGAGCCCUGAAACAGCCUGUGAGCAACCACAGAGCUCUGCUACCUAAACCCCAAGGCCAUGGUAAGUUGGGAGUGCUGAGAUGCAUAGACAGCUUAGGCCACUGGAGGUCUUAUGGGACUAGCUUAAUCAGAAUCAGAAUUGGCUUCAUUGGCCAAGUAUGUGUACACAUACAAGGAAUUGGAAUUUAUGUCAUUGCUCUCAAUGUACUUACAUAGAAAUAGACAUAACAGCUAUGAACAAAGACAACAAAGUGGAACUAAUAGGACUUUUUGGUUGGCUCCAUGUACAAGCUGACCAUCUGCAUAAUAAGAUCUUGUAGUUAUGUGUCCAUCUUUAUGUUGUUUGAAGGCAAAUUACUCAAUCAUGUUUUAUGUAGCUCUUACCAGCAAUCAUAAUAGUCCUGGUAUACAAUCCUUGAUCCAAACCUAAACAAAAGAUGGGCCCGUUAUCACUUUUGAUGCAACUGCUAACAUUAGACAACAACUAAUGAAGGUCUAAUGUUUUCUGAUGCUGCAAAAGUUUUGUUUAUGUCAGUAAUGCUUGUCCAUAUUGAAGUGACACAAGCUUAUAUGUUCAGUCAUGAUAAGAUGAGCACAUCUAUCGAGUCAAACUGUGUUCCACUUCUUGCAUUAGGUCUUGCAUUAAUGAAAACACCGAUGAAAAGUAACUAAAAUAGAAAGAAGCCAGUUUGAGAAUUUAAGCUCAAACUGGUGUCUCUGGCUAAUAACUCCUGCACUAGCACCACCAUGACCACAUAGCGUUGGCUGGAGGAAGCAGAAGUAAUAUAGGGAAGUUCUCACUAAUCCAAGUCUGAUAUACAGAAAAUAAAAAGAGGAAGAUAAAGAAUUAUUUAACAGAGACCUUGUAAUGUAAGGAUUCAAAUUGUUUUGCAGGGUGUGCCAAAUGUGUCGUGCUUGAACAGCAACUCAAAAUUCAGUCUGAAGAAAUAAGGAGACUGAAAGCAGGUAUGUCGUCACUGUAGUUUGAUCUUAAUAAAUUUAUUGCAAACAAUUUAGAAAACAUGCUGCAAUGUUUUGGAAUGAAAGAAAUGUCUGUGCUUUAAUGGGUGAGUUUUCAUUAUCCAUACCACCCAUCAAAUAGUUACUGAACAGAUGUGGCCGAAAAUAUUGGUACCCUUGCAUUUUAUUAAAAUAAUUCACCAUUCACCCUGAACAGUGUUGAAAUGUAAAGAUCUUUCCAUGGUAGAAGGCCCAGGAAGGCCCCACUUCUAAGAGGGAGACACAAAAAAGCCAGACUGGACUUAGCCAAAAUGCAUGUUCCUUCUGAAAGAAUGUGCUUUGGACAGAUGAAACAAAAUUAGAACUUUUUGGUAAAUCACACCAACCCUAUGACCACCGAAGACAAAAAAUGUCCAGUAGAUUUUUCACAAUCUGUAAAUAAUGUCACACAUUUUUGUUUUUUAGGGCUUGGUGCAGGUUUUCCUGUUUUAAAAAAGACACAACAGGUGGUGAGAGAUGAAAAUAGCGAAGAAAGAUGAGGCACAACACAAACCUAAAUGGAUGCCACCAAGACACCCAGGAUUUGGAAAUCCACUUAUGUCUGAGCUGAAGACCAAACUGAAGAAAACCACAAAAGAGUGAAAAGAAGAUCAAUGAAAAUGCUUUGUGUGAAUAUUUUAAUAUAAUAUACAAAUGGUUUACUUUUGGUGUAUUUAUCAAACUAAAUACAGUGAUGUCCAUUGUGUCAAUUACCUGCCCUAUGUUUUAACUUUUAUAAUAAAGCUUAACCGAAAAA